rnacentral:rRNA from 1 species
UACGAAGGGGGCUAGCGUUGUUCGGAAUUACUGGGCGUAAAGGGCGCGUAGGCUGUGCUGUAAGUCAGGCGUGAAAGGCCCGGGCUCAACCUGGGAAUGGCGCAUGAUACUGCGGCGCUGGGGGGCGGGAGAGGAUGGCGGAAUUCCCAGUGUAGAGGUGAAAUUCGUAGAUAUUGGGAAGAACACCGGUGGCGAAGGCGGCCAUCUGGCCCGCAAUUGACGCUGAGGCGCGAAAGCGUGGGGAGCAAACAGG